CUACGGGUUGCUCCAGUGAGGAAUUUUGGGCAAUGGGGGCAACCCUGACCCAGCGACGCCGCGUGCAGGAUGACAGCCCUUCGGGUUGUAAACUGCUUUCGGAUGGGAAGAAAAGAGAGGCUUCCUCCCCGAGACUGUACCAUCAGAAGAAGCACCGGCAAACUACGUGCCAGCAGCCGCGGUAAUACGUAGGGUGCGAGCGUUAUCCGGAAUUACUGGGUAUAAAGGGUGUGUAGGCGGGCUUGUGCGUCGAUGGUUAAAGACCCGGGCUUAACUCGGGGAGUGCCUUCGAUACGGCAAGUCUUGAAUGUGAGAGAGGAUGAUGGAAUUCCUGGUGUAGCGGUGAAGUGCGUAGAUAUCAGGAGGAACACCGGUAGCGAAGGCGGUCAUCCGGCUCAUUAUUGACGCUGAGGCACGAAAGCGUGGGGAGCGAACAGGAUUAGAUACCCCUGUAGUC
rnacentral:rRNA from 1 species